GAUUAUGGCUCAGAACGAACGCUGGCGGCAGGUCUUAGGCAUGCAAGUCGAACGGAUGACAAGGGAGCUUGCUUCCUUGAAGUCAGUGGCGCACGAGUGAGUAACGCGUGGGAAACUGCCCUUCACUGGGGAAUAACGUUUGGAAACGAACGCUAAUACCGCAUACGCCCGCAAGGGGAAAGAUUUAUCGGUGAUGGAUGUGCCCGCGUUGGAUUAGCUAGUUGGUGGGGUAAUGGCCUACCAAGGCGAUGAUCCAUAGCUGGUCUGAGAGGACGAUCAGCCACGCUGGAACUGAGACACGGUCCAGACUCCUACGGGAGGCAGCAGCUAAGAAUAUUGGGCAAUGGAGGAAACUCUGACCCAGCCCAUGCCGCGUGAAUGAAGAAGGCCUUCGGGUUGUAAAGUUCUUUUAGUCAUGAAGAUGAUGACAGUAGUGACAGAAAAAGCACCGGCUAACUUCGUGCCAGCAGCCGC
rnacentral:rRNA from 1 species